GAUGAAGAACGCAGCGAAAUGCGAUAAGUAAUGUGAAUUGCAGAAUUCAGUGAAUCAUCGAAUCUUUGAACGCACCUUGCGCCCUUUGGCUAUUCCGAAGGGCAUGCCUGUUUGAGUAUCGUGAACACCUCAACUCUCAUGGUCUGCCAUGAUGAGCUUGGACUUUGGGGGUCUUGCCGGCCUAGCGUCGGCUCCUCUCAAAUGGAUCAGCUUGCCAGUGUUUGGUGGCAUCACAGGUGUGAUAACUAUCUACGCUUGUGGUUUUUCCACCAGGUAACCUUCAGCAGUGGAGGUUCGCUGGAGCUCAUAGAUGUCUCUCCUCAGUGAGGACAGCCCUUUGAAUGUUUGAUCUCAAAUCAGGUAGGACUACCCGCUGAACUUAAGCAUAUCAAUAAGCGGAGGA
rnacentral:misc_RNA from 1 species